rnacentral:rRNA from 1 species
AAUGGAAUGAGAUUUCGGUCAAAUGAAGUUGAGGACAGUGGCGGACGGGUGAGUAACGCGUGAGGAACCUGCCUUUCAGAGGGGGACAACAGUUGGAAACGACUGCUAAUACCGCAUAACACAUUGAGGUCGCAUGGCCUUGAUGUCAAAGAUUUAUCGCUGAAAGAUGGCCUCGCGUCUGAUUAGCUAGUUGGUGAGGUAACGGCCCACCAAGGCGACGAUCAGUAGCCGGACUGAGAGGUUGAACGGCCACAUUGGGACUGAGAUACGGCCCAGACUCCUACGGGAGGCAGCAGUGGGGAAUAUUGGGCAAUGGGCGCAAGCCUGACCCAGCAACGCCGCGUGAAGGAAGAAGGCUUUCGGGUUGUAAACUUCUUUUGCAAGGGAAGAGAAGAAGACGGUACCUUGUGAAUAAGCCACGGCUAACUACGUGCCAGCAGCCGCGGUAAUACGUAGGUGGCAAGCGUUGUCCGGAUUUACUGGGUGUAAAGGGCGUGUAGCCGGGUCGGUAAGUCAGAUGUGAAAUCUAUGAGCUCAACUCAUAAACUGCAUUUGAAACUGCUGAUCUUGAGUAUCGGAGAGGCAAUCGGAAUUCCUAGUGUAGCGGUGAAAUGCGUAGAUAUUAGGAGGAACACCAGUGGCGAAGGCGAUUGCUGGACGACAACUGACGGUGAGGCGCGAAAGCGUGGGGAGCAA